rnacentral:rRNA from 1 species
UACGUAGGGUGCAAGCGUUGUCCGGAAUUAUUGGGCGUAAAGAGCGUGUAGGCGGCCCGACCAGUCCGCUGUGAAAGUCCAGGGCUCAACCCUGGAAUGCCGGUGGAUACUGUCGGGCUAGAGUCCGGAAGGGGCGAGUGGAAUUCCUGGUGUAGCGGUGAAAUGCGCAGAUAUCAGGAGGAACACCAAUGGCGAAGGCAGCUCGCUGGGACGUGACUGACACUGAGACGCGAAAGCGUGGGGAGCAAACAGG